GUACCUACGGGGGGCAGCAGUGGGGAAUAUUGCACAAUGGGGGAAACCCUGAUGCAGCAACGCCGCGUGAGUGAAGAAGUCAUUCGUGAUGUAAAGCUCUAUCAGCAGGGAAGAAAAUGACGGUACCUGACUAAGAAGCCCCGGCUAACUACGUGCCAGCAGCCGCGGUAAUACGUAGGGGGCAAGCGUUAUCCGGAUUUACUGGGUGUAAAGGGAGCGAAGACGGCGACGCAAGUC
rnacentral:rRNA from 1 species